rnacentral:misc_RNA from 1 species
AAGUCGUAACAAGGUUUCCGUAGGUGAACCUGCGGAAGGAUCAUUAAAGAGUAAGGGUUAUUCGUAGCCCCGGACCUCCAACCCUUUUGUUGUUAUUAAACUACCUCGUUGCUUUUGGCGGGGACCGCUCGGUCUCGAGCUGCUGGUCUUCGGCCCGGGCAAGUGCCCGCCAGAGUCUACUCAAACUCUUGUUUUAACCGGUCGCUGAGUUAAACUUUAAUUAAAUUAAAA